rnacentral:rRNA from 1 species
AGUGAACGCUGGCGGUAGGCCUAACACAUGCAAGUCGAACGGCAGCACAGUAAGAGCUUGCUCUUACGGGUGGCGAGUGGCGGACGGGUGAGGAAUACAUCGGAAUCUACUUUUUCGUGGGGGAUAACGUAGGGAAACUUACGCUAAUACCGCAUACGACCUACGGGUGAAAGCAGGGGAUCUUCUGACCUUGCGCGAUUGAAUGAGCCGAUGUCGGAUUAGCUAGUUGGCGGGGUAAAGGCCCACCAAGGCGACGAUCCGUAGCUGGUCUGAGAGGAUGAUCAGCCACCCUGGAACUGAGACACGCUCCAGACUCCUACGGGAGGCAGCAGUGGGGAAUAUUGGACAAUGGGCGCAAGCCUGAUCCAGCCAUACCGCGUGGGAGAAGAAGGCCUUCGGGUUGUAAAGCCCUUUUGUUGGGAAAGAAAAGCAGCAGGUUAAUACCCCGCUGUUCUGACGGUACCCAAAGAAUAAGCACCGGCUAACUUCGUG